ACGUAGGGGGCGAGCGUUGUCCGGAAUGAUUGGGCGUAAAGGGCGCGUAGGCGGCCUGCUAAGUCUGAAGUGAAAGUCCUGCUUUCAAGGUGGGAAGUGCUUUGGAUACUGGUGGGCUGGAGUGCAGGAGAGGAAAGCGGAAUUACCGGUGUAGCGGUGAAAUGCGUAGAGAUCGGUAGGAACACCAGUGGCGAAGGCGGCUUUCUGGACUGAAACUGACGCUGAGGCGCGAAAGCGUGGGGAGCAAACAG
rnacentral:rRNA from 1 species